rnacentral:rRNA from 1 species
UACGUAUGGUGCAAGCGUUAUCCGGAUUUACUGGGCGUAAAGGGAGCGCAGGCGGCGCGCCAAGUCUGAUGUGAAACCCCGGGGCUCAACCCCGGGCAUGCAUUGGAAACUGGCGGGCUGGAGUGCCGGAGAGGUAAGCGGAAUUCCUAGUGUAGCGGUGAAAUGCGUAGAUAUUAGGGGGAACACCAGUGGCGAAGGCGGCUUACUGGACGGCAACUGACGCUGAGGCUCGAAAGCGUGGGGAGCAAACAGG